AGAGUGAACGCUGGCGGUAGGCCUAACACAUGCAAGUCGAACGGCAGCACAGUAGGAGCUUGCUCUUACGGGUGGCGAGUGGCGGACGGGUGAGGAAUACAUCGGAAUCUACCUUUUGGUGGGGGAUAACGUAGGGAAACUUACGCUAAUACCGCAUACGCCCUUCGGGGGAAAGCCGGGGACCAGCAAUGGCCUGGCGCUGAUAGAUGAGCCGAUGUCGGAUUAGCUAGUUGGUGAGGUAAUGGCUCACCAAGGCGACGAUCCGUAGCUGGUCUGAGAGGAUGAUCAGCCACACUGGAACUGAGACACGGUCCAGACUCCGUACGGGAGGCAGCAGGUGGGGAAUAUGGACAAGUGGGCGCAAGCCUAGACCCAGCCAUACCGGCGUGGGUAGAAGGAA
rnacentral:rRNA from 1 species